CGCAAGACCUUGCACUAUUAGAGCGGCCGAUAUCGGAUUACCUAGUUGGUGGGGUAACGGCUCACCAAGGCGACGAUCCGUAGCUGGUUUGAGAGGACGACCAGCCACACUGGGACUGAGACACGGCCCAUACUCCUACGGGAGGCAGCAGUGGGGAAUUUUGGACAAUGGGGGAAACCCUGAUCCAGCCAUCCCGCGUGUGCGAUGAAGGCCUUCGGGUUGUAAAGCACUUUUGGCAGGAAAGAAACGUCAUGGGCUAAUACCCCGCGAAACUGACGGUACCUGCAAAAUACCCACCGGCUAACUACGUGCCAGCACCCGCGGUAAUACCUAGGGUGCAAGCGUUAAUCGGAAUUACUGGGCGUAAAGCGUGCGCAGGCGGUUCGGAAAGAAAGAUGUGAAAUCCCAGAGCUUAACUUUGGAACUGCUUUUUUAACUACCGAGCUAGAGUGUGUCAGAGGGAGGUGGAAUUCCGCGUGUAGCAGUGAAAUGCGUA
rnacentral:rRNA from 1 species